rnacentral:lncRNA from 1 species
AGAUGUGUAGUAGUCGUGUAGUAGUCGUUCGUUGAUGCUAGGCGUCUCGAGUACGCGCUCUAACGUUCUCGAGCGUCGCGACGCAACUUUUGCGAGUUGGAUGUAUAAUAAUCGUAGAUAAUAAACCAGUGGUGACGAUGAAAACGUUUGGAAAAAAGUGAGAGAAAAAGGGAAAUAUUUUUGUCGGGUCAAACCGGUCGAAGCUCUUCGGGAAAUUGCGAACGUGUUGAAAUGCUUGAAUGGACUUCAGGGAAAAAGAAAGGAACGCGUUUCCCAUUAAAGUAACCUAUUGAAGAUUUAUUCGUAGAAGAGAUCUUAGAAGUUCAUCUUGGAAAUUCUUAUGAAGCUCAAGGAUCGAACGACAGAAAAUAUAUUUAUGCCGUCCAUAUCCUUCUGAUGCUACUGCUGCUAUUUGUCGUGAAACGCGUGGGUCUGCUGUAAACGUGUGUAUGAGUGUCUUCUUUGUGUUUUUCUACGUAUAACGCAGAUCCGAUUUACCAAUUCUUCUAUAACAUUUCUUCUUUGAAAAGUAAUCAUCUGGUUAAAACCAUUCCAUUAAACACAAACUUUUCCUUAUUUCUUUAUUGAAAUUUAAAAAAAGAACAAAACACUCGAAAAAGACUCCUGUAUUUUUUCUUCUUCUUCUUGAAACGUAGAGAAGAUUUUCAAAAGUCAGACAAAUAAGUGUAACUUUUUAAGUGCGAGAAAAAAAGAGAGAGAGAGAGAAAACAACAAAUAUUAAAACAAUAUAUUGAAAAAAGGAAAAUAUUUGAAAGUAUCGAAAGUGAUAUGAAAUUGUCAUUGUUUAUAUUUGUUCGUAAAUUUCUAUUAAAAUAGAAGAAGACAAA